AUAUAUAUAUAUAUAAUGCAUGCAUGCUUGACUGAUGGAAUCAUGUUCUAAACUUUUCAGAGUGACGUAAGGUCGUUGCACCUUCGGUUAACAUUAUGGAUAUCAUACCAUCAAUAUGAACUUCAGUAGGACUCAAGGAUCAUACAUACUUUCUUAGAAUAACUUUGUACGAAAAGAACAACAUGAGAUUCAGUAUGAAGUAGUGUAUCGUUUAUGUUCGUCUCAAUUUAGAUCAUGCCAAAAGAAAUACAGAAGUGCCCUAACAUACUUUAACCAUGGUUAGUCCUGAAUACCUCUCAAGCAACACUUCAAACAACUCAACUCAAUCUACCAUGGAAUAAAGAGAUUCAAAAUCAGUGUUGAAUGAAGGCUAAUUUUGCAACUUAAACUUGUAGCUUGUUUAUAUAAAUUCGGGGAGCAUUCCCCUGUAAAAGAGCCUCCUCCAAUACCAUAUACCAACAACAAUUACCAGAGAAAUCCAUCAAUACAUAAUUGUCAAUAACAAGACAUCAUAAAAUAACAACAAGUCGUAAUUAUUUGACGACAAGCGACAAGCUCCAAUUGAAAUUCGUAUACCCUAUAUCAUCCCUUAAAGACUUUUUACUUUAGCUUAAUAGCAUUAUUAACAUGAUAAUGAAUUCAUUCAUCAAUAAUUACAGCCUUAUACCAUAUGUCCAUAACAAAUAAAAUGAUCCACAACUCCAAUUAUUCUUAAUUAGCAACUUUAUUCACUAGUUCAUCGGGUCUAGUUCAUGUCUAGUUCAUCCAUUCAGCUUAACAAACGCCAACAUAACCUGUAGGAACACAAUAUAUUUACCUCAUACAGUAGAUUCAAGUUUACACCCAUAUUAUAUUUAGCUUACAACAUCCCAAACACACCCUAAUCAACUCAUACCAAAACGACGACUAUAGUAGUGUCCAACACCCCGAAAAUAUUAUAUAGAAUGAUUAAUCCAUCAUUUCACCAUUAUGUGGUGUUUAUCCACACCAUUUAUACUUCAAAAACUCCACUAAAUAUCAGUACAAUAUACAGCCAAAAAGCUACACGAAACAGCCCACAAAACAGUCCAUUGCAAAUCAAAUAACUCGAACUCACGGCUUCCGAUCACCGUCCCGUGAGUUCUAACUAUAUGAAAUCAAUUAAUCAACCUUCACUGAUAUUUAAGAUCUUAAAAAUCAUAAAUUUAAUAAUUUUCUUAACUACUAAAUACCUUCCAAAACUCAAACAAUAAAGAAAAAGAAAGGCUAUAUAGGGAUACUUACGUCGUGGGGAUCGUUUUUGUGUUAUUACUUCGUGAUUUCGUACCCCGGAUGAUAAUAUUUUUGAAAUGUCUUGUGGGAAAGCUUGAGGGGAAGUUUAGGGGUCUUAUUUGGUUGAACUCUCUGGAAUUGUGAAGAAGGAUACGACAUAUAGGAAGAUAAAUAUCAAUUUUUGGUUGAAAAGUCAAAAGGUGCCACUUGGCACCAUCUCAUUUGCUGCUUUUUAAACAUUUGUAUCUUUCUAUCCGGAUAUCGUAU
rnacentral:lncRNA from 1 species